CAGCCGCCGCGGGAAUACGGAGGGUGCAAGCGUUAAUCGGAAUUACUGGGCGUAAAGCGCACGCAGGCGGUUUGUUAAGUCAGAUGCGAAAUCCCCGAGCUUAACUUGGGAACUGCAUUUGAAACUGGCAAGCCAGAGUCUUGUAGAGGGGGGUAGAAUUCCAGGUGUAGCGGUGAAAUGCGUAGAGAUCUGGAGGAAUAACGGUGGCGAAGGCGGCCCCCUGGACAAAGACUGACGCUCAGGUGCGAAAGCGUGGGGAGCAAACAGGAUUAGAUACCCCGGUAGUCCCUGUCUCUUAUAC
rnacentral:rRNA from 1 species